GAGCUCCUCCUUCCUCGGUCGCCGGUCAAGGGCGACCCCGUCCGCCCUCCGUCCUCGCAAGCCGCCAUUGGGCAAUCGUCGUCGCCGUCCUCUUCCUCCGCGUCGGCCGCCGCUUCCGCGUGUAGUUUCCGUCGUUUCGGAAGUCCGCGGUCGCGAGGAAAAGAGUUCGGAAGA